CUAUAUUGCAAUACAAUAACAACAUGAACAACAAAUUUUUGUUCGCAUAAAUUUAGGGUGCCAGCAUGUCCUCCUUUUAUUCAAAAUAUUGAUACGUAACAAAAUUUCAGUAGUUUUGAUACCUCAUGCUGACUUGUACAACAAAAUGAUUUGACCGCAUUGACCAAAACUGACCAUAUGUGCACUUUAAUUUGUAAAUCUAUAUACCAUGUAUACCCGCAUAGUAAAUAAGCCAUAUUUUUUAUGCCAGGAUUCAAUGUAUA
rnacentral:lncRNA from 1 species